CAAGGAGUAGCCAGAGCACAUGGCUAGAUAGAUGCUGCAUUUAAGUUUUCUCUUUACGCUGUUCCUGGGACACUAUUUGUCUAAGAAGACAGAAAGGCUUUCUUUCCUCUGGGAGAGAAGAAAAGGAAGAGGCACACACAAGAACCUUGCAGCUGCCAUCAAACGAAGUUUUACCGUCAAAGUGUGAACAUAAACAGGUCUCUGUCUUGGUUUUGACCACGCUGCUAGCAGAUGCAGCGCGGAAGGCUGUACAUUCGUGUCGACUAAAUUCUUCAGCAUUUGUGAACACUGGACACCUAAGAUGGCACAUUCAAGAUGAUGUGAAUACUGAUGUAACUGUCCUGUUGUUGAUGGCCCACUUUAAAAGAAGCAGAGGAUUUGCUGUUCCUUUUGGCCAGUGUCACAACAACAGCAGCAGAUGCAAAGACCAGGCUUUCACUUCCUUCUACUCUGAUCAUGCUUGGUAAGAUCUUUUAGUACAUGUUUUAGUGAUGUUAAAGGGAUGGGUUUUUUUAAAAAAAAAAACAACAAAAAAAAACUUUUGGUCACACUUUAUUCAUGACUCUCUAUAUCUAACUUUCUACCUAGCAUCUUCUUAAUUACAUUUUGAAUAACAAGAGUAGGUAAAUCAUAAUAGAAUUGUCAUUUUUGGGUGAAUCGUUUUGCUUCAGAUUACGUUUUUCUUUUUUUUUAAUCUUUAAUUGUGUUCCACAGAAGAAAGUAUAUUUGGGAUGACAUGAGGGUGAGUAAAUGUUGAGAGAAUGAAAAUUUUUGGGUGUUGUCUUCUUGCCAUGCAGUAACGAAUAACUGGCAAUUUGAGUUAAAAUAAAAAUUAACUGGUGUACUAUUCUGUUUAUUCUUCUAAUGAAUUCAUAACAGUAUUUUUGUCUAUCCACUGAAAGUACACAAAACCAAAAUAUUUCAGUUCAAAAAGUGCGUAAAUAAAUAGAAUUAAUCUGUAUGAUUAAUCCAUGGGCUUUUAUUCACAUACAAACAUUGAUAAUUCAAAUAUGAAGAGUACUGUACAUCAAAUGUGGUAAACAGAAUCUCAAACAUGCUUGAGAACUGAUUAGGUGUCUUAAACCACUCGAAUCAUAUGGAUUAUUUUUACAAUGUCUUUAUGCACUUUUUGAAGCAAAAAAAAUUAGGUUGCCUGGAUAGACAAAAAUGAAGAGAGAAUAUCAGUUUUCAUGUGUUCCGAAAACAAACUAGUUUCAUGGGUUUGUAACAACAUAGUAAAUGAUGACAAAGUUUUCAUUUUGGCUGAAUGCUCUAAAAUGUUUUUACAAAGAGAAUGAAAUAUGAAUCUAAUGUAUGAUUUUUUUUUUUUUUUUUUUAUGUGAAGGUUCAUUGUGAGGAUCAAUCCUGACACACCUCAAGUGUUCUGCAGAUUUCCAGAUCAGCAAAAGAAGUGGGAAGAUGGUGCAAAGGAGAAAUUCUGGCCUGAACCGUCAUGUGUCUACACAGUAAAAAUAGAUGGGUUAUUUUUUUAACCCAAUAGAUGGGUUACACAUAUUGGGUCACUGUGUUGGGUUAUUUUCUAAAACGUUGGGUUAUUUUUUUUAAACAUGGUUGGGUUGUUUUUAAUAAUAACCCAGCGUUGGGUUUAAUUGGUUCCCGCGGCGACAGUUCAAAUUUUAACGGUCGACAGUGACUGACGACAGAAGAAGCUGCUGCUGCAUCAGUGUGAGACAUGGGUUCUUCAGUGAAGGAAAAACUACAACAGUGGAAUCUCAUACAUUAAACAUCCACAUGCCAAUUAACUGAAAUAUUUCAAGAGGAAGGAGUCAAUGAAGGAAGUUUUAUGCGACCGGAUGACACCAGCAUUGCUGCACUAACUCCAAGAGAAGAAGUUUUUAGCAUUUUCAACGGUGAAGCAGUGGAACAGAAGACCUUACUACAAGCAGUGGAUCUGUGUUUUAGACAUUUCUACAUUUAUGACAUUUACUACCCAAAGCUCCUCUGCACCCAUUUGCAGCACAAGGUCUUUAAUAUUCCAGGAGUUCUUUCAACACAUAUGCCUCUUUCUUAGAAACUUUGUAUUUAUUGAUCCGUAAAAACUUUUUAUGUUGCUGAUUAUCAGCAAGUCCAGCAGCCAGCAGAUUUACUUUGUUUUAUUAUUAUUAUUAUUAUUAUUAUUAUUAUUAUUAUUAUUACUUGUGUUUAUGAUUUUUUUAUUUUUGUUUUAUUUUAAAAGUUUGUAUGUUAUGUUUGUUUUAUUUGUGCACAUUUGUGUAUGUGUUGGGUCAAAAUUAUCAAAUUUUCUUUCAUGCCAAAAAUCAUUAGAAUAUUAAGUAAAGAUCAUGUUCCAUGGAGAUAUUUUGUAAAUCUCCUACCAUAAGUAUAUUGAAACUGAAUUUCUUAUUAGUAAUAUGUAUUGCUAAUAACUUCAUUUGGACAACUUUAAAGGCAAUUUUCUCAAUAUUUAGAUUUUUUUGCACUCUCAGAUUCCAGAUUUUCAAAUAGUUGUUCUAUCCUAUCAAACCACAUAUUAAUAGAAAGCUUAUUUAUUGAGCUUUCAGAUGAUGUUUAUAUUUAAAUACAAAAAACUUGAAAAUAUGUUAGUUGUGUGUGCAUAUUUGUGUUUUGAAUGUAUUAUAUUUUCACAUUCUUGUACACUUAUUUUGUAAACAUUUGCAGUAUGACUGUUUUACAUUUAAAAUAUAUAUUUGUAAAAAUUGUUUUGCAUAUUUAAAUAAACAAAAUAUUUAUUUGAAAACAAAGUAGUGUUAUAGUGUAUUUUUAUAAAAUAAAUAAAUAAAUAAAGAAAGAAAUAAAAACUGAUAUAAAUGAAUCUAAAUUAUUAACUCAACUGUUGGGUUACUUUUAACCCAACUGGAUUUUAACCCAAUUCAUUGGGUUAAAAUAACCCAUAGAUGGCAAGGUGCUAUACCAACCCAUAGUUGGGUUACUAGUUGGGUUAUUUUUAACCCAACAUUUUUUAGUGAGUAAGGAGUUCGUGGAUUUCAGCUAGCAAAACUAUGAAUCCACUAUGGGCAAAUGCAUUUUACUCAGGAGAGUUUUUGUGAAUUUGUAUGUUUUUAAGAUUGUUCUUAUGAUUGAAUUUAUUCCUAAUUUUUUUUUUUUUAAUUGUUGUUAUAUACAAAUAUUUAUGUAUACAUUCUUGAAAAAUGCUUCUCGUGUGUAACAAAAGUUUGAGUUUUAUUUGAAGCUUCACUGUCAUUGCUGUUCGCUGUUAUCAUAGUAUGUUGUGCUUUGGAUAAAUGUUAAGAUUUUUUCUAGCUUUAAUAGUUAAAAUGGUAUGUGCUGUUAUAUAUACACAAUACUUUGUAAUAGUGUUUUG